UACGGGGGGGGCAAGCGUUGUUCGGAAUUACUGGGCGUAAAGGGCUCGUAGGCGGCCAACUAAGUCAUACGUGAAAUCCCUCGGCUUAACCGGGGAACUGCGUCUGAUACUGGAUGGCUUGAGUUCGGGGAGAGGGAUGCGGAAUUCCAGGUGUAGCGGUGAAAUGCGUAGAUAUCUGGAGGAACACCGGUGGCGAAGGCGGCAUCCUGGACCGAUACUGACGCUGAGGAGCGAAAGCCAGGGGAGCAAACGGGAUU
rnacentral:rRNA from 1 species